GACGAACGCUGGCGGCGUGCUUAACACAUGCAAGUCGAACGGACAGGCCCGGCUUUUUGUUGGUUCUCACGUGGCGAACGAGUGGGUAACAAGUGAGUAGCCUGCCCUUGACUUAGCGAUAACUACAGGAAACUGGGGCUAAUAACUGCUAGGAGCUCCUGCCGCAUGGUGGGGGGUGGAAAGUUUGGGCGGUUGGGGAUGGACUCGCGGCUGAUCAGCUGGUUGGUGGGGUAGUGGCUUACCAAGGGUCUGACGGGUCGCCGGCCUGAGAGGGUUGCCGGCGACCUUGGGACUGAGAGAGGGCCCAGACUGGUAAGGGAGGCAGCAGUGGAGAAUAUGGCGGAAUGGGGGGGAGUGUGAGGAGGAAGUGUCGCGUGCGGGAUGAAGGCUUUCGGGAUGAGAACCGCUUUCGCAUGAGACGUAGCGUGAGUGACGGUAAUGGGUAAGGAAGCAACGGCUAACUACGUG
rnacentral:rRNA from 1 species